GAGUGAGGGCCUCUGGCCCGACCUCCAACCCUUUGAAUUCCGACUCUGUUGCCUCGGGGGCGACCCGGCCCUUACGGGCGUCGGGGCCCCCGGUGGACCACACAACUCUGCAUCCGUGCGUCUGAGUAACAACCGAAUAAGUUAAAACUUUCAACAACGGAUCUCUUGGUUCU
rnacentral:misc_RNA from 1 species